rnacentral:rRNA from 1 species
GGUGAGGUAAAGGCUUACCAAGAUUAUGAUGUGUAGCUGGACUGAGAGGUUGAACAGCCACAUUGGGACUGAGACACGGCCCAAACUCCUACGGGAGGCAGCAGUAGGGAAUUUUCGGCAAUGGAGGAAACUCUGACCGAGCGACGCCGCGUGAACGAUGAAGUAUUUCGGUAUGUAAAGUUCUUUUAUUGAAGAAGAAAAAAUAGUGGAAAAACUAUCUUGACGUUAUUCAAUGAAUAAGCCCCGGCUAACUAUGUGCCAGCAGCCGCGGUAAGACAUAGGGGGCGAGCGUUAUCCGGAAUUAUUGGGCGUAAAGGGUGCGUAGGCGGUUAGAUAAGUCUAUAAUUUAAUUUCAGUGCUUAACGCUGUCUUGUUAUAGAAACUGUCUUGACUAGAGUGAGAUAGAGGCAAGCGGAAUUCCAUGUGUAGCGGUAAAAUGUGUAAAUAUAUGGAGGAACACCAGAAGCGUAGGCGGCUUGCUGGGUCUUUACUGACGCUGAGGCACGAAAGCGUGGGGAGCAAACAGGAUUAGAUACCCUGGUAGUCCACGCUGUAAACGAUGAGUACUAAGUGUCGGGGAAACUCGGUACUGAAGUUAACACAUUAAGUACUCCGCCUGAGUAGUACGUACGCAAGUAUGAAACUUAAAGGAAUUGACGGGACUCCGCACAAGCGGUGGAUCAUGUUGUUUAAUUCGAAGAUACACGAAAAACCUUACCAGGUCUUGACAUACUCUGCAAAGCUAUAGAAAUAUAGUGGAGGUUAUCAGGGAUACAGGUGGUGCAUGGUUGUCGUCAGUUCGUGUCGUGAGAUGUUAGGUUAAGUCCUAAAACGAACGCAACCCCUGUCGCUAGUUGCCAGCACGUAAUGGUGGGGACUUUAGCGAGACUGCCAAUUAAACAUUGGAGGAAGGUGGGGAUAACGUCAAAUCAUCAUGCCCCUUAUGAUCUGGGCUACAAACGUGAUACAAUGGCUAUUACAAAGAGUAGCUGAAACGCGAGUUUUUAGCCAAUCUCAAAAAGGUAGUCUCAGUACGGAUUGAAGUCUGCAA